UUCAUGUCAUUGUUAUUCAUUAAAAAUUUAUCAUUUUAGUCCCCGAACUUUUAAUUUAAUUUAAAUGAGUUUAACCCUAAAAAUUGGGAUAUUUGCAUUUGUGAGUCUCUGGUGUUAACUUCAAAUGCAGCAGUGAAGAGGAAGAAAUCGGGAAGGGAAGACGAAGGAAUUUGGGUUAGGGUUUCAUUUUCAAAUCGGAAUUGGGGAUUAAAGUGAAGAGGAAGGAAUUGGGAAGGGAAGACAAAGGAAUUGAGGCUAGGGUUUCAUUUUCAAAUCAGAUGUGGGGAUUUCAGGAAUAGCCGGAGAAAGGGCCUUGUUGAAGUUCCUUAAGCUUGGGCAACGUCUACAGCUCACCGACGUUCAAGCCACUAUUAUGUGGGGCAUCGUUGUCACUACCGAUGCUCUUUGGCUCAUCCAGAUCCAAGAUGAAGAAGAAGAAGAAGAUGGAAAAUAAUAAAAUGCUUUGGUUUUUUUCAUUCAAAUUUUAAGGUAAUUUUGAGGAAGAAGAUGAAGAUUCAGAUGUUUGCGGGUUUCCAACUAUUUAAUUAUUGUUUUUUCUUUUAUUUGGGUUAGUAAUUAGUAUUAAGCAAAUUAUAUUUUUGUCCUUUAAAGUGGUAUACAAUACUUAUGGCAUGGUAAAUUAGGCCAUGUGACAUUAAAUGAUUGGUUUAUAUGUAAAAAAAUUAUAUCAUAUUUUUGUUAGAAUUUUUAAUGAAA